CACGAUUGGGAUUAAGACCAGGACAAACCCAUGCCCCUCCAUGCCGGUCAGAACGGCUCAGACGACUAUAGUGACCAACGGAGCAGGUCUUUCAGGAUUCACAACCUUACCAUGGGCGAUGCUGGACGCCGCCAAACAUCGUCCGGGAACGGGCAUACAACUUGGGUAUAUGGACUCAAACUGUUUCUGCUCCUCGCAGGAAACCCCAGUGUUGGCCUCUCCCAUAGGAUGCCCAUAGCAGCACUCCUCCGCACUGACGGAUGGUUGGCGGUACUGGUCGCCAAGAUAGUCGGAACCCAAGCACAAGGCACAAAGUUCCGAAGGGAACUUAUUAGACACGCAAGGGUCCCAUGGCUUUCAUAAGGGCC